rnacentral:rRNA from 1 species
UCUUCAAAUGUUCCAAAAUGGACGAAAGUCUGAUGGGGCAAUGCCGCGUGAGUGGAGAAGGAAUUCGGCGCGUAAAACUCUGUUGUUAAAGAAGAACGCUCUUGAGAGUAACGGUUCAGAAGUUGACGGGAUUUAACCAGGAAGCCACGGCUAAAAAACGUG